rnacentral:ribozyme from 1 species
UGCCCAGCAAAUCCUAUCCAUACCUCCGAAUGGCACCGGCCGGAACUGCGAGCAACAUUAGGGAAGAUCGGGUAACCAACCCCGGUGGGCACCUAGGUCGUAGACUGACAGGAAAGG